CAGGAACUCUGACCCUGUUAAGUCAAGCCUCACUCCUGUGGUCCUGCUUGUGUGUCUCUGGUAAUAUGGGCUUCUAAAGGGAGGGGCUCUGAAGUUUCCUUAUCUGGUGAAUGAAUCAUCUUCCAAAAAAAAGAAAGGAACUGCUGUAAACCUCCUUAGGAAUCUCAAGUAAGGAGGAAAGAACAAGUCCUGAAGAAGGAAGGGAGAAACUGAAAGUUACCACCAGCCCAGUCAGACUGGUCAUCUAUUCUUCUGAAGACAGGCUUGGAGUUCCCUGGGAUACCCGAUCUGCAUAAGCCACCCUGGGCUGAUAGUGAAGUUCCAUUCCUCACCUCCUAUUCCUGCAAUCCAAAUUUUUCCACUGUAAUCACUAAGACACAAACUGCUGUCUCUGAAGCUCUAUGAGAUAAAGCUGGACAACUUGAUAUAAAUUUCACAGGACCAGUUUCAUGACUGAUACAUAGGCCACACAGAGAGUUCACCAGAAUCCCUGAUGCCAUAGCCAGAGACAUUCAGACUGCAAACCAGGAUAAGAAGGUGACAACUGCAUGCUGUGGACAGCUUUUCCAAAAUAUCAGAACAAGCUCCCCAUCAUAAUGAAGCUCUACUUCUGAGUUUUCCUGCUUGUGCCUACCUCUUUUGCUUGUCAGAACAAUGCUGGAGUUCGAAUUUCAUAAGCAGUAGCUUUUGCGUGUAAUUUGAUGAAAUGAUGGAUAUGAAACUGCUGUUCAAAUUGCACCUGUGGCUCCUUUGUAAGAUAGAGUCAGACUUCUAGACCUGUGUGUUCUCUUACCUACUUUAACCUAACCCAGCCAUGGCACACUAUAUAACCUACGAGCUGAAUAA